ensembl:snoRNA small nucleolar RNA SNORA29
CUUCCCAUUUGACUACCAUUUAUUUGCAUUGCAAAAUAAGUGGCUAUGCUUAUGGGAUAAAUAAAUGACUGCCAAAGGUCUGAAGGAGAAUAUUGACAAUGUAUUCAUCCUAUAUGAAAUGGCAGUACAUACUCUU